AACGAACGCUGGCGGCGUGGAUUAGGCAUGCAAGUCGAACGCGAAAGAGGGAGCAAUCCCUCAAGUAGAGUGGCGAACGGGUGAGUAACGCGUGAAGAACCUGCCUUCAACAGGGGGAGUAACACUCCCAACCGGGGUGGCUAAUACCGCAUGAGACCACGGGUCCGCAUGGACCUGAGGUCAAAGGUGGCCUCUGCCUGCAAGCUACCGGUUGAAGAUGGCUUCGCGUCCCAUUAGCUAGUUGGCGGUGUAAAAGACCACCAAGGCGACGAUGGGUAGCUGGUCUGAGAGGAUGGUCAGCCACACUGGGACUGAGAUACGGCCCAGACUCCUACGGGAGGCAGCAGUCGAGAGGC
rnacentral:rRNA from 1 species